UAAUCACGGAAUCAGUAUUGCAGCGAUUGGUCAACAGAUGACAUGCAACGGUCCCGUGGCUCUGUUUAAAUUUAUACAAAUAAUAAUGAAUUACCAAAACAUCGAAUGUUGUGAACACACAAAUCGACUUUGUCAAGAAACAAGUAUACACACCAAAGCCUGAACGGAAAUAGCUGAAGCUACGCAAGAAAGGAAUUAUGUACCAAAAUUUGGUACGAAAUAGUCGAAUUUUUCUUGUUACUACCAACAUAGAACAUUCCUGCUUUUCCCACGAGUAGUUGAAAUUGCACUAGAAAGACCCAGUGUCACAUGGUGAACCCUUAUCAGUUAUAUAACUGACUUUAAAAUGCGUCAUCUCUAGAUAUAAUCCCAAUACAUACUGAUUUCCAUAAAAAUCCAAACACCUUGAAUUAGUUGACUGAUAAAACUGAAAGUUUCACUAAAUGUGCACUAAAUCGAACCAAAUACAUGAUUAAAAAAACAACAGGCCUAAAUCUUGUGAAAUAAAAAAUUUAUUCAAUAAUGUGUGGGUCCACCUUGAUUUCUAAUGCACUCAUAUACUCGGCGAAGCAUGCUUGAAAGAAGAUGGUUUAUGGUGUCCUGUGGGAUCUCGUCCCAAGCUUCCUGAAGUCACAUACGAAGGUCAUUUAAAUUAUUCGGGGGAUGCUGCAAGUUACCUAGACGUGUGCCCAUGAUAUCCCACACAUGUUCGAUUGGUGACAAAUCUGGUGAACGAACAGGGCAGGGAAGAGCUUGAACAUUAUGUCGGGAUUAAACCAACGCCUGAUAGAUAUGCUUGACCAAUAUAGAUGUGUUUAUUGCUUCGAUCAUGUCCACCCGGGAAUGCGUCUUUAUGUAUUUCGCCCAAAUAAUCGCGCCAGUACUCCCAACAUCAAAGGAUCAAAAUAGGAGAAAAAUUUAAUGUGUUUAAUAUGGUAAUUUCUUGUUGAGAAAUGGGGAUUUUGCAACUAAACUCCGCCCUUCAACUCACAAUGAAUAAAACAUU